AAACUUUCAACAACGGAUCUCUUGGUUCUGGCAUCGAUGAAGAACGCAGCGAAAUGCGAUAAGUAGUGUGAAUUGCAGAAUUCCGUGAAUCAUCGAAUCUUUGAACGCACAUUGCGCCCGCCAGUAUUCUGGCGGGCAUGCCUGUUCGAGCGUCAUUU
rnacentral:rRNA from 1 species